rnacentral:lncRNA from 1 species
AGCCAUAAAUCCUUUUUUGUAUUAACUGAGAUCUGUUGACUUUGUAUACCAUUCCGUUGUAAAUAAAUGAUCUUAUCAUAGAUCCAUUGUGGUCUGGAAAUUAUUUUAUUAUUAUUAUUAUAUAAUAAUGGAAACAGCAACCCUAGUCGCCAUCUCUAUAUCUGGUUUACUUGUAAGUUUUACUGGGUAUGCCUUAUAUACUGCUUUUGGGCAACCCUCUCAACAACUAAGAGAUCCAUUCGAGGAACACGGGGACUAGUUGAAGUAAUGAGCCCCCCAAGAUUGGGAGGCUCAUUACUUCAAUUAAGAUAAUGAAAAAUCAUUUCACCUUUUUAGUUGGAACUUUAGGCGGUUCUCGAAAAAAGAUAGCGAAAAAAAUUAUUCCUAGAGUCGAUACUAAGAGGAAUGUAUAAACUAAUGCUUCCAUAGAUUCAAUCGUGGUUUACAAUUAUAGCUUCCAUAUCUGUUUAUUUAGAGCGUUCCCGGAUAAAAAAAGAGCAAGAGUCAAGACAAAGAAAAGGCGGCGAUUCAAAUCAAGAUGUCCCCAGUACCCUAUGCCAAAUUACAAAAAGAAAAUAGAGACGCAAAAUCAGAGAUUAAUGUUGUAUCAAACUACUUGUCUUCUUGUAGUUGGAUCUCCAAGUUUUUGGAAUGCUCCAAAUUCCACCUGAGCGUCUAAAUCUGGAUCAAUACCAGCAAAAACAUCUCUAAACUAUCACUUGUAUCGAGUUGCCAGCAAAAACAUCAUGGCAAGUGACCAUAAUAAUAUAUAAAAACAUCUCACUUCAAUUCGAAUUAGCAAAAGCAAUGUCUCCUUGCAUAAUAUGGAUUCCAAACAUUCACGAUCUGGAUGUGAAUGAGUCGAAUUACUUAUCCCUCGGUCUAUUAGUGAACUAUCUCUCCAGGGAUUGUGAAAGAUGUUCCACUAGAAAUAUUCUUGUUAUUGCUUCGACUCAUAUUCCCCAAAAAGUGGAUCCCGCUCUAAUAGCUCCGAAUAAAUUAAAUACAUGCAUUAAGAUACGAAGGCUUCUUAUUCCACAACAACGAAAGCACGUUUUCACUCUUUCAUAUAGUAGGGGAUUUCACUUGGAAAAGAAAAUGUUCCAUACUAAGAGAUUCGGGUCCGUAACCAUGGGUUCCAAUGUACGAGAUCUUGUAGCACUUACCAAUGAGGCCCUAUCGAUUAGUAUUACACAGAAGAAAUCAAUUAUAGACACUAAUAUAAUUAGAUCUGCUCUUCAUAGACAAACUUGGGAUUUGCGAUCCCAGGUAAGAUCGGUUCAGGAUCAUGGGAUCCUUUUCUAUCAGAUAGGAAGGGCUGUUGAACAAAAUGUAUUUCUAAGUAAUUGCCCCAUAGAUCCUAUAUCUAUCUAUAUGAAGAAGAAAUCAUGUAACGAAGGGGAUUCUUAUUUGUACAAAUGGUACUUCGAACUUGGAACGAGCAUGAAGAAAUUAACGAUACUUCUUUAUCUUUUGAGUUGUUAUGCCGGAUCGAUUGCUCAAGACCUUUGGUCUCUACCCGGACCCGAUGAAAAAAAUGGGAUCACUUAUUAUGGACUUGUUGAGAAUGAUUCUGAUCUAGUUCAUGGCCUAUUAGAAGUAGAAGGCGCUCUGGUGGGAUCCUCACGGACAGAAAAAGAUUGCAGUCAGUUUGAUAAUGAUCGAGUGACAUUGCUUCUUCGGCCCGAACCAAGGAGUCCCUUAGAUAUGAUGCAAAAUGGAUCUUGUUCUAUCCUUGAUCAAAGAUUUCUCUAUGAAAAAUAUGAAUCGGAGUUUGAAGAAGGGGAAGUAGAAGGAAUCCUCGACCCGCAACAGAUAGAGGAGGAUUUAUUCAAUCACAUAGUUUGGGCUCCUAGAAUAUGGAGCCCUUGGGGCUUUCUAUUUGAUUGUAUCGAAAGGCCCAAUUCAUUGGGAUUUCCCUAUUGGGCCAGGUCAUUUCGGGGUAAGCGGAUCAUUUAUGAUGAAGAGGAUGAGCUUCAAGAGAAUGAUUCGGAGUUGUUGCAGAGUGGAACCAUGCAGUACCAGAUACGAGAUAGAUCUUCCAAAGAACAAGGUGUUUUUCGAAUAAGCCAAUUCAUUUGGGACCCUGCAAAUCCACUCUUUUUCCUAUUCAAAGACCAGCCCCUUUGUCUCUGUGUUUUCACAUCGAGAAUUCUUUGUAGAUGAAGAGAUGUCAAAGGGGCUUCUUACUUCCCAAACAAAUCCUCCUACAUUUAUAUAUAAACGCUGGUUUAUCAAGAAUACGUAAGAAAAGCACUUCGAAUUGUUGAUUCAUCGCCAGAGAUGGCUUAGAACCAAGAGUUCAUUAUCUAAUGGAUUUUUCCGUUCUAAUACUCUAUCCGAGAGUUAUCAGUAUUUAUCAAAUCUAUUCCUAACUAACGGAAGGCUAUUGGAUCAAAUGACAAAGGCAUUGUUGAGAAAAAUAUGGCUUUUCCCGGAUGAAAUGAAAAUUGGAUUCAUGUAAUAGGAGAAAGGUUUCCCAUUCCUUAGCCUGAAAGAUAUGUGGCCAUGAAAUAGGGAUUAAGUGGAACAGAAUUGACUGGGUGGUAGAGUCGUGGAAACACCUUCUUCUUCCAUAUUUUGGACACGGAACAAUAUGUUACUGCUGAAACAUGGAAGAAUUGAAAUCUUAGAUCAAAACACUAUGUAUGGAUGGUAUGAACUGCCUAAACAAGAAUUCUUGAACAGCGAGCAACCAGAGCGAUUCCUCACUACAUCAAAAAAUUUCCAUUAAUGAAAGAUGUAAAUCCAUUGGAAAAAUCAAAAAUACGUAUGUCGGAUGAAAUGGUGGUUGUUGCUAUCUGCUCCAAUAACGAAUCGUUGGUUUAACUGAAUAACUAAAUGAAUAACUAAAUAAAAUAGAUAGAACCUUCUCUUCGUCUCAGGUCGAUGGAUCUUCUCAAUUGGAAGAUCCCCUAUAUGGAUAAUAUACAUAUUCCAGUUGACCGGGCCUAAUUCUAAUUCUUUUGUUCCGAAGCAAAGAUAUCCACGGGGCGGUUCGUCCUAUUCAGAUAUUCACGACCAAGAAGUACUGGAUUCUCUUUCGGAUAGGCUCUGAAAGGAGAAAGAGAAGGAAGGCUGGAAUGCCAACAAACGCCUAUUAUUGAAUUCACCCGACCCGAUAGUACCCAUUUUAUUUUGGGAACAUAACAUCCAGUGCCAAAGUCACUGAAUGGGUAAGUCGCCAAUCCCUAAAACGGACUAUGUACUGUACUUUAUCUGUUGGGUUACGGGCGGGCAUUUUCCAGAGGUUUCUAUUGUAUCAAUCUACCUUUGUGUAAUUCCUGUUGAAGACAUAGACUCGGGGGUGGUUCCAGGGCGGACGAUUUCAAAGCAGACUCCCCAUUCAUUAUUCAUUAGAUAGAGAAGAUCACCAAGAUUUCGUGAUCCGCGACCGAACUUAUUCCAAUUCAAUAAGAGAUCUUGGAUCGAAUCGGUAUAUCAAUAUCGAUUCGAUCCGAGAUCUCUUAUUGAAUUGCUCAUUCAAUGAGCAUUCUCAAUAUUAUGUCUUGAAGAGGACUCGAACCUCCACGCUCUUUAGCACGAGAUUUUGAGUCUCGCGUGUCUACCAUUUCACCACCAAGGCAUCUUGAAAGUGAAUCGUAUUCCAUGAAUAUGAUAUCUAUCUAGUGUAAUGUAUGGAAUAUAUGACAAAGGUGGAGUGUUGGAGUAUUUCUAUUGAUCGGUCAUGUCAGACAUCCAAUUGCUUUUUGAAUUAUCCGGAAGAUGCCUUAUCUAUAUUAUAUCAAAAAAAUGGACAAUCAAACCUAUUUCUCGAUUCAAUAUAAGCCAAAAGGGGUGAAUAGAAUAGGGAAUAGGGUCCCAAAUAAGGAGAGAUAUUUAUGUAAAAAACAGGUCCGAUUACGCCUGUUCCUAAUCCUAAAUGGAAUGUAGCGACGGGGGGAUCCAUAUGUAAACAUAGUCUUUAUUUAGAUACGCUCGAAUGACCUUUUCUCAUAAUGAGAAUGUAUAUAAGCCUAUUCCGGUCUGGUCCGGUAUGAAAUGAACUUAUAAUCAUGGAAUCGACUCGAUUAUAGAUUAUAAGUUCAUAACCCUAGCCCAUUCCCAUUUUGGGCGGAACAGAUCUAUAAAUUCUUUGAUUCCAGUUAGUAAGAGGGAUCUUGAACUAAGAAAUAGAUUCUAGAAGCUAAAAAAGGAUAUCUUGAGCAAUUUCAAUAAUCGGGCUCAUUGAUAUUCCCGGUAUAGUAGAUGCUAUCACACAUACAAUCAUACUCAAUUUGAUGGAAUUGUUUGAUCUUAAAGGGGAUCCUCUAUAAUUUCGCACGUGAGGGGUUAUUUCUUGGUUUUGUCCAGUCAUUAAUAACUUGAUUAUUUUUAGAUAAUAGUAGAUAGAAAGAACGCUCGUAUACUAAUUCCUCAUCCCCCAAUCAAUCCUUCCCGUUGGGUUAUUGUCCCAAUAAAAAUAAAACAAAAUAAAUAAUUGUAGGAGUAAAAUCUUGAUAGAAUUCGAAAAAGCAAGCAGCAAGUACAAGACAAUAAAAAAAAAUACGUAUUUUUUUAUAGGAUUAGAUUAAACAAAUCAAAUAUAGGAUUAAACAAAAGGAUUCGCAAAUAAAAGUGUUAAUGCUACAACCAGUCCAUAAAUUGUUAAAGCUUCCAUAAAAGCCAGACUAAGCAAUAAAGUACCUCGUAUUUUCCCCUCUGCCUCGGGUUGUCUCGCGAUACCUUCUACAGCUUGGCCCGCAGCAGUACCUUGACCAACCCUAGGUCCAAUAGAAGCAAGCCCAACGGCCAACCCAGCAGCAAUAACGGAAGCGGCAGAAAUCAAUGGAUUCAUGAUAAGUUCCUCGCACCAAAAAAAAGAAAUGGUUAAUGAUACAAUCAACCAAUAAAUUAUGACUUAAUUAUUCCAUCGAUAAGAUUUUCAUCUAGUCAAAGUAACGCAACUAAGAGCUCCCAAUUGAAGUAGUAAUAUUAUUGAAUCAUCAGAACUACUUCGAUAUCUAUUUUAUAGUUCCUAUCCACAGAGUUUUUGUGAAUUCAUAGAAUUCAUACAACUUUUUGUUUUUCCAUUUCUUUCUUUGUUCCAAACCAUUCUUUGAAUUCGAACUCUUCGUUCUUUUUCUUGAUUGAAUUCCUUUAUUCAAUAUUGAAUUGAAUUCACAGUUACAAAUGAAACAGAAGGACUUUUAUUGGAAUCCCUACCCCAAUUCUCAGUAAUAGGAGGGCGGAUUAGAUAUAUCUUUUAGCUCAUAUAUAACUAGCCUACUAUUACAUAUACAUGUCUUUCUUCCAUAACGUAAACCAACUAUUUGUAUCUUGGAUUCAGUCGUAUUUUAAAAACAUUUUUCGAAACAUCUAUAAAGGAAAGUUGGCUUAUAGCGAUUAUAUAUAUUACAUAUACCUAGUUUGAUCCCACUCUUCUAACGAAACCAUUUUCUCUUGAAUCUCAUUUUUUGUAAACCCUUAUCUUCCUUUUAUUUAAUUUAGAAUUAUUUAAUUUAGAAUUUAGCAUUAUCCCACAUGGAUACAAUCAAUCUAAAUGGGCGAAUUUCUUAGUCUAAAUCAUUGCAUAGAAAUAUAAGUCUUUGGUUGAUCUAAGUUCAUGUAAUUUAUUCUUUAUUAAUAUUUUCUUUUGGUCAAUCUUUGAAUUGAAUAAAACCGACUGAAAUGGGAAUCGCUCUAUAGAACCUAAUUUUUUUUUUUACAAUUCCCUAAUAUCGUAAUCGUUUUUACUAUUCUUCUAGAUCUUAUAGAUAGAUAGAUCUUAUAGACUUUUUUGUCUAUUUAUGUGUAUAUAUAUGUUCACGAAGAAGAUUAUCUCGAGCAAGGCAUAGAUUACCUUGCACUAAGCUAAAAAAGACUAUUUCGAAACUUAGUCAAUGGUGUCCCUCCAAGGAUUCACCUAUAUAAGCCGCAGCUAAAGUUGCAAAAAUAAGAGCUUGAAUACCACUUGUAAAUAAUCCAAGGAAAAUGACAGGUAUAGGAACCAUUGAAGGUACUAAAGAAACAAGAACAACAAUUACUAAUUCAUCCGCUAAUAUAUUUCCAAAAAGUCGAAAGCUAAGUGAUAAAGGUUUUGUGAAAUCUUCUAAAAUGUUAAUGGGUAAAAGGAUUGGAGUUGGUUGUAUGUAUUUACCGAAAUAACCUAAUCCUUUUUUGCUAAGGCCCGCAUAAAAAUAUGCUAUUGACGUAAGUAAAGCUAAAGCAACGGUAGUAUUUAUAUCAUUCGUGGGUGCGGCUAACUCCCCAUGAGGUAACUCUACAAUUUUCCAAGGUAAAAGCGCCCCUGACCAAUUAGAAACAAAAAUAAAUAGAAACAAAGUUCCAAUAAAGGGAACCCAUGGACCAUAUUCCUCUCCAAUCUGGGUUUUGCUCACAUCUCGAAUAAAUUCAAGGAUAUAUUCGAAGAAAUUCUGACCAUCAGUAGGAAUGGUUUGUGGAUUCCGAACAGUUACAAUGGCUGAACCUAAUAAGAUAACAAUUACAACCCAAGAAGUAAUAAGUACUUGGGCAUGGACUUGGAAACCGCCUAUUUUCCAAUAGAAAUGCUGGCCUACUUCCACACCAGAUAUUUCAUAUAACCCUUUUAAUGUGUUAAUGGAAUAUGAAAGAAAGAAAACUUUACAAGAAAUUAUUUUGAUUCAACCGUCUUUUUUUCGACUUGCUCACUUGAAUUGUAUAUUUUAGAUACCAACUAAUCACAUAAUAUCCCCAGUUUUUUAUCUCUUUUAUGAGAUUCAGAAAUAGUAAUGGAUUCCGUCAAUCUAUGGAAUUCAAAAAAGAAUUUAUUUAUCUUAUUAUUAAUCAGGGAUUUCGUAUAUAGCUAGAACGCCCUUCACAAAUUGCAAAUACUAAUUUGUUAAGAAUUAAUUGGAUUGAAGCUAUAGCGUCAUCAUUCACUGGAAUCGAAAUAUCUGUGAGAUCCGGGUCACAGUUUGUAUCAAUUAAACAAAUUGUUGGAAUUCCCAAAGUGAUACAUUCUUGAAGAGCCAUAUAUUCUUCUUGCUGAUCAACGAUUAUUACAAUAUCGGGUAACCCUGUCAUAUAUUUAAUCCCGCCCAAAUAUGUUUGCAAGUGAAAUAACUGUCUCUUUAAUCGAGCCGCAUCCCCUUUCGGAAGGCGGUGGAUUCCCCCUGUCUUUUGUUCCAUUCUCAAGUCCCUGAACUUUUGAAGUCUCAUUUCUGUAGUGGACCAAUUCGUUAAAAGGCCGCCUAGCCAUUUUUUAUUAACAUAAUGACACCGAGCUCUUAUUGCAGCCCGCGCUAUUGGAUCAGCUGCUUUAUUUUUGGUACCAACAAUUAAGAAUUGUUUUCUCCUACUUGCUGCAUCAAAAACCAAAUCACACGCUUCUGAUAAAAAACGAGCAGUUCUAGUAAGAUUUGUAAUAUGAAUACCCUUACGCUUUGCAGAGAUAUAAGGUGCCAUUUUCGGAUUCCAUUUUCUAGUAGCAUGACCAAAAUGACUCCUGUUUCCAACAUCUCUUUCAAAUUAAUGUUCCAAUACAAUAAGAAUUAUGCUUUUGCUAAUUCGAAUUGAAGCUUUAAUAUCAUUCACUUCAAUUCUUUAAUAUUUCUUCAUUUUGUGGUCACUUGCCAGUACUAUAAAUCACUAUCGAACAUGAGAGCUUUGUGAUCAGAUGCAGACCAAAGUCCCUUUGGAGUGUUAAAAUUGUUGAUCUAAGCUACCUCUUCCGUUAUCCUCUUAAAUCUUCUUCCUCUUAAAUAUUACACGCAUAAAUAGAUAUGGAGGAGAUUCGCCGGGCUGCUGGAGCUUAUUAUGAGAAUCUGCCCGAUGAGGAGAAGAGAAAUGCCAGAUUUUCUUUCAAUGAAAUGGACAAAAACAAAGACGGGAAAAUUAACCUAGAUGAAUACGUGGAGUAUCUCAAGAAAGAUAACAACACGGUUCUUCCAAGCUUGUUUACAGCGCUGGACAAGGACGGCAAUGGAACCUUGGAUUUUGAUGAAGCAAUCGUCUUGUACUACACCAUGCAGAGUGGAAGGGCUAUAAUUUGCCAGUCUUGUAAGACGUUCUUGGCAGGAGCAUACUUCACUUGCUCUCAGUGUUUCUUCAAUGAUGAUGAUUCAGUUAGC